CUGCUUUGAACAGGUGAAGCUUCCCAGCCGGAGCGCUGAGGAAACUGUCAACAGGCGAUCGCUAACCAACAUAGGAAAAGUGUUCGCGCUGAGAGGGAAGAGG
rnacentral:ribozyme from 1 species